rnacentral:tRNA from 1 species
CCUUCGAUAGCUCAGUUGGUAGAGCAGUAGACUGUAGAUCCAUAGGUCGCUGAUUCAAAUCCGGCUCGAAGGA